CCUUGCCAGCCCGCUCAGAACUUAAAGGAAUUGACGGGGGCCCGCACAAGCGGUGGAGCAUGUGGUUUAAUUCGAUGAUACGCGAGGAACCUUACCUGGGCUCAAAUGUAUGUUGACGUAUUCUGAAAGGGAUACUUCUUCGGACAAUAUACAAGGUGCUGCAUGGUUGUCGUCAGCUCGUGCCGUGAGGUGUCGGGUUAAGUCCCAUAACGAGCGCAACCCCUAUCAUUAGUUGCCAUCAGGUCAAGCUGGGGACUCUAAUGAAACUGCCUACGCAAGUAGUGAGGAAGGUGGGGAUGACGUCAAAUCAGCACGGCCCUUACGUCCAGGGCUACACACGUGCUACAAUGGCCGGUACAAAGGGCAGCUACCUGGUGACAGGAUGCUAAUCUCAAAAGCCGGUCUCAGUUCGGAUCGGAGUCUGCAACCCGACUCCGUGAAGUUGGAUUCGCUAGUAAUCGCGCAUCAGCCAUGGCGCGGUGAAUACGUUCCCGGGCCUU
rnacentral:rRNA from 1 species